UCUUAGGCAUGAGCAAAGAAAGUGGUUUCUUAAGAUGGAAUCUACUCCUGGUGAUGAGGCUGUGAA
rnacentral:pre_miRNA from 1 species